rnacentral:rRNA from 1 species
UGGGGAAUAUUGCACAAUGGGCGGAAGCCUGAUGCAGCGACGCCGCGUGGGGGAUGAAGGCCUUCGGGUUGUAAACUCCUUUCGACAGGGACGAAGCUUUUGUGACGGUACCUGUAUAAGAAGCACCGGCUAACUACGUGCCAGCAGCCGCGGUAAUACGUAGGGUGCGAGCGUUGUCCGGAAUUACUGGGCGUAAAGGGCUCGUAGGUGGUUUGUCGCGUCGUCUGUGAAAUUCCGGGGCUUAACUCCGGGCGUGCAGGCGAUACGGGCAUAACUUGAGUGCUGUAGGGGUAACUGGAAUUCCUGGUGUAGCGGUGAAAUGCGCAGAUAUCAGGAGGAACACCGAUGGCGAAGGCAGGUUACUGGGCAGUUACUGACGCUGAGGAGCGAAAGCAUGGGUAGCGAACAGGAUUAGAUACCCUGGUAGUCCAUGCCGUAAACGGUGGGCGCUAGGUGUGAGGGUCUUUCUACGACUUUCGUGCCGUAGCUAACGCAUUAAGCGCCCCGCCUGGGGAGUACGGCCGCAAGGCUA